rnacentral:lncRNA from 1 species
CCUCGCAUACUUGUUUCUUUUAAUAUCUAUCAUUCCCAUCGUAACCCACAAACAAUCAUCAUUUCAUAUUAUAUCAUGCUUCGCCCCCACUCCCCUCCCCUUCAAAGCCGCCAUGAUUAUGCUCACAAGAAAUCAAACCCAUCAUCAUUAUCUCCCACCCAAAACCACUCAUUCACACCCUUUUUCAACGCUGCAGAUGAAGAAGAAUUCAAGACUAUCGCAGUCGUGUUUUCGUUUUCUUCGUGAAAAGCUUUGAAACUUUAUUUCUUCUCUUCAUGGGGGAAUUGAGGCAUCACGGUCCGAUCAUAUUAUUGUAACUCUUUUCUUGAUUUCUUCUAGUUUCUUUUGAGAAAAUUUAUAAUUCUUAAUUUUAGGGUUAUUAUAUAAGUGCUAGCUAGCUACUAUAUAUAUUUGCAGUGUGGUUUGCGUUUUGUUGUUUUGAGACGAGGCAACAGUUGGACUCUUACUCGAUCGAGAUUUCAAUAACACCAGAUUGCCCCGUUUGGAAAAUUUUGGAAUCAGGUUAAGUUUUACAGAUCUAUAUAUAGUUGUGUGGAUAUUGAUGAAAUUAGGGUUUUUGAGUUUCUGAUCUGGAGUUGUUUUUCUUUCUUGGAGUGUUUUAGAUCGAUUAUUACAUAUGUGCUUUAUUUAACUAGUUCUUUGAAUUACAGAUUCAUAUAUCAAAUUUCAAUAUCAUAUAUAUGACGAUGAAUCCAACUCUUUCAAACGAUGAAGAUGUAUAAAUUAAUUAAGAAGGUGAGAACCAUUAACUUUUCUCCUAAUUGCAUGGUAAGUUGUGUUGUGAGUCGACGAUUUUAUGACUAAAAGGUUAUGAAUUCGAGUUUCCGAUAUAUAUAUAUAGAUAUCACAUAGUUAAAUAAUUAAUAAAAAUAUUCAAUCAUACAAAAUAAACUCCUACUUAUAUCUCUUGCUAUGAAUUAAUUUGUGGAUUCUAGGAAGUUAUGUGAGGUGGAUAAAAUUGGUUCGAGCCUUGGUAAUAAAUUGGAGCUGGGUAAUGAGUGAUAACUUUGAAAUACCUGGGUCAGAUAGGCUUUUGUAGCUUAAUUUGGACCUCUGAUCUACUUAUUAAAGGAAAAUUUAAACAUUUUAUAUUAACUAAGUUACGCUUCGUUAUUAAUAUAAUUGUAUUUUCUUUCGUGUAGAAGUUUACAAAUUUUAUACUCCAUUUUAUAGUAUAUUUUUGUCCCCUCAUUUUAGUGCACAAUUAGUUCGUCUCUCCAAGCCCCUCUAAUUUAACAAAUUAUACCAUACGACUCAUAUAUUCGCUUGGGUGACCCUAAUUUGGCUCAUUGGCAUAAGGAAACCGCAGCCUAAAUUAAAUAUGGCUAAUUUAUAAUUAUGCUUGUAUGAAGGUGCAAUAUAUAUAUAUAUAUAAAACAAACACUAAAGGGAUGAGGGGUUAGGCAAAGAGAUGAGCAAAAUAUUCGAAAUUUGAAUAUCCGAUUCGAAUCAAACCGGAAAUUAAAAUAUGGUUCGAAUUUUUGGAUCGGAUCGGAUUGAAUUUUAAGCAAAUUUCAGAUUUUCGGAUUGGAUCGGAUUGACACUUUAAAAAUUCGAAAUCCGAAUUAUAUUUAUAAUAUAAAUAAUAUUAUAUAUAUAUAAUAAUAAUUAAUUUUUAAAUAGUUAAAUAUUUCUAAAUUCUAACCCUAUACUCUAAUUUUGGUUGAUUACAAUUAAUGGCUUAUUAAUUAGGACCUUGAUUCGACUGUAAUUAUCUAAUUGGUUAGGUUGAUAUCUAUUUCGGCUUUUUCGAAUUUUUUCGGUUAUUGAAUUUUUUUUCACAUUUCGAAUUUUUUUUCAAGUUUUAGAUUUUUCGGUUCGAAUCGGAUUUUAUCCGAAAUUUUUCAGAUUCGGACCUUCGGAUAAUAUGGUUCGGAUCAGCUUGAAUUUUAGAAAUUUUUUGGAUUUUUUUGAUCGGAUCGGAAUAGGCAAAAAUUCGAUCUGAAAUUCUAAUGCUCGCCUCUAGUUAGGUAGACACCCGGCCUGUAAAUAAACAUCAACAAGUAUCUCAUACACAACGCUGCCCAAAAGUGAUAACACCCAUCAAAAUCAACAAGGAAAAACAUAAAUCAAAUGGACAAAAGACAUACAUAUAGAUGUAGCCCAAAAGUAAUUAUAUCUAGAGGACAAAGAAAAAACAUCAUCAAAAAGAAAAUAAACCAAAACAAAAUAAACCAAAACAAACAUCAUCAAGAGUCAGCUCACCAUAGUGGAGCGAAGGGUACUCCUCAUAGGGGGAGCUGGUGGCAUGAAGUCAACAAAUUAAGGGAGUACAUCCUCGCAAAUUAAUGAGUAUCAGUGAGUUUCCCGCUGUAACAAGUAGACGAAGAUGAUGAGUAAUCUGUCAAAUCACAUAAGAAGACACGAAAAGGAAUAAUUUUGUACUUACGACUAUUCAUCUUCGUCUAACAGAACCACAUAAUCAAACAAUGCAAUGUUGAAACCAUUAAGUUUAUAUAUAGAUGAUUCUAUAUGGAAUUCCUGGAAAUAACAAGAGAAGUAAAUUUGAGGUCUAAAAACAUAUUUUAGGGUCUAUUUACACAUAAUCAUAUACAAUUAAAUUCUUAAAUUUUAUUCUCGGUUGUAUAUUAUAAACACUUUAGCAUUCCAUCAUUCAACUCAUGGACUUUCACCCAAAUUGCAAGAGGUCAUGGGUUCAAUCCUUUUUACGUGCGGUGUAGUAUAUUUUUCAUAUCUGUAUGGUGUUGAGAAUGAGAUCCUCAUAUAUGAUGAGAUCUUAAAUUAAUUUGUAAGUGUUGAUUUAAUGUAUCCUAUAACUGAUAUUUAUUUGGAUGAGAAUUUUUUUUACCUGAACUCGAAUUUCGGAGGGAGUGAAAAUUCCACUAAUUUGGGCAUUGAUUAUAAUGAAGCAAAAAAAGUGAAAAAUAUAUAAUGAAGAGUGAUGAUAAACAGCCACAUUGUGACCAUCCAAAAAUUACUUAAAUAGAAAAUAAAAAAAUAUUUGACUUAUUUUUAAAAAUAAAAAUAAGAUUUAGUUAUUUUGUAUUUUUUAUAUUGUAGUAUUUUUUUAUAAUUUUUUUAUUUUUAUUAAAAAUAUAAAAUAAUAAUUAAAAAUAAGUACAAUAUAGAAAAUACAAUAAAAUAACUAAAUCCUAUUUUUAUUUUAAAAAAUUAAAUAAAUAAAAAAUUUAUCCAUUAAACUAAUUUGUGGGUAAUCACAAUAUAGUUGAAUAGAGUAAACUAGAUUAUUAGCGUGGAUAAAUAUGUGUUACUAAUAUUGGUUGGUUGUUUGCUAUUAUGGUUAAUUAAUCAUGAUUUUUGUUUGAUAUCCAUAUUUCUAGAUUAGAUAAGCUUAAAAAUGGACACGAUUGCAGGGCUGUAUUAAUUAUCCUGCGUAAUCCGAGAGGGGAGGCGGUAUUUAUUAUCCUACGUAAUCCAGAUUUUUAGCUCAGGACCUUCACAUAUCGCAGGGCCAUCCGCAUAAGUGUUAUAGAAUACCAAACUCUUUACUACUCUAUAUUAACUUAACUAAUAUGGUGUAAAAUUCAAAACCAAACACGCCCCUUAUUGUAUAAUGAAUGCCAAAGUAAGAGAAACAUUACCACCAAUUUGGAAUUAAAACAUUGAAUUAGUUUGUCCUCAAAGGGACACUAAGCGGUGCGGACUCCUGUCUACGAACAGUGAGGUCCGGAUAUCAAACCCCAUCUCUCCCUCUCCCCCAAAGUCAAAAAAAAAAAAGAAAAAAAGAGAGAGAAGAAGAAGAAGAGAGACAAAACAUUGAAUUAAUUUCCUUACAAAACAUUGAAUUCAUCAAUUACUAAUGUGACAUGGUUUCUGCAAGCAAAAAAAAAUGCAUCAUCAUUAUGUACUUACAAAUUCACAUAUAUAUCUACACAAAUUGUUGUAAAAGUCAACUAAUUCUUAAAAUAGCAUGAAAAUACAAUGGUACGACGACAGGUAUGUCGAGCCUCCCAUUCUUGAUAGAAUAAUAAAAAAAUCACCAGAAAUUUUUGUAUCUCUGCACACUUUGUAACAAAGAGAGAAAAAUGGACGUUUUGUUUGAUAAAAUUGAUUGACAUUUGUGAAUGGGACAAUAAAAUCUGGCUCUUGUUUGUUUGAAAGCCAUUUUCUUUGAAUACCAAUUAAAUGUGGACUUCUUUGCUUUUAUGUCUAUCCAAUUUCUGGAAUUGAUAAAGGUGUGACUGACUAUCGAUUUCGUGAAAAAUGUCUUGUUGUUUGGAUGUUUUUCAGAGAAUAUAUAAAUCAUAAUUUGACAAGACGACUCUCAUACAAAGUUGUCUUAAGAAAAAAGUCAUACACUCCCUCCCAUUUUAUAUAUAAGAGCAUCCGUAAUGGGGUUCCUUGAUAGCCUACUUGAUAGUGUUUGUGUUAUUGAGUAGAUAGUGCUGCAUUGUAGUUCCUUGAUAGCCUACUUGAUAAAAUUAGUUUUGAUUUUAUGUUUUUCAUUUAAAUUUUAUUGCAUAAUUUAAAUAACACAAUUUAUUUCAAAUUUAAAUUGCAUUAAUUAUAAAAUCCUAAAUAUUACAUAAAACUUAAAUAAAAUAAAAACAAUUCAUAAAAAUUAACUACUCUGGUGACGACAUUUUUGGAAGAAAAAUUGUAGGAGGAACGAAUAUGAUAUUUUCACUACAAAAAAACGCUCAUUUUAGCUACGGAAUUAGCUACGGAUUUAUUUCCGUAGCUAUUCUGUGACGGAAUCGCUACGGAUUCGUGACGGAUAUAUUUUGUUAAAUUUUCCAACGGAUUUGACAACGGAUUUCCGUAGCAAUUCUUUCGCUACGGAUAUAAUCUGUCACUAAAGUUUAAAAAAAUAGUAAUUUUAUUAAAAAUUCUUAGCUACGGAAUAACCGUAGCUAAAGCCGUAGCUAAACUGAAAUUUUAUCCUUAGCUACGGAUUCUAUCCGUAGCAAAAUCAGCGUGACUUAUUAGCUACGGAAUUUCCGUAGCUAAAUCCAAAUAUUUUCAAAUCUAACGUCAAGCUUUUUCGCCCAAUUAAAACCUAGUUUUUUCUCACUAUUCCAACCGCGACUGGUCUUCCAUUUCUCCCACCGCCGUCCUCUCACCGGUGUCGCCACCGUCCUUGCUCGGACGCUCACCGUCGCAGCCGCCGUCGACUUGGUAAGUUCUCUUCGAUUUGAGGGGGUUCUCUUCUGGUUAUGGGAUGUUAAUAACUAAGCUUUGUUAUUUGAUAUUAUACUCCCAAUUUAGGGAUUGCACUGCCCUCGCCCAGCCCUACCCCGUCCCGCGACUCCAUAGCUGCAACAAUUGGUAAGCUUCGUUAUCAAUGCAGCAAACUUUUGAUACCUUAGUCAGUUUGAUUGAUUUCUCCUAAAAAUGAGCUUUUCUUAUUUGAAAGUUUUUAAAGAGUAAACACACUAUUAUCUCCAAUUUUUUGAUACCUAAAUUGUCGGUCAUUUUUUUUUAACUUUCGGGGUUGAAUUUAUUAUCUCCAAUUUUAAUGCUUCAGUAUUUCAGUUUUGAUCGGUUUCAGCAAGUAUUGGGUUCUAAAAGGAUUAAAUCAAACCCAUCAUCAUUUCUAUGUAGUUUUUGGUACUUAUUUAGUCGGCUAUUUGAUUUAAAUCUGAAAGUAUAUAAAGUUGUGGAAUCAUCUCCUCAUUUGGUUGAAUGCAUACUAGAAAAGUCUGCUUCUACACUAAUUAAACUCACUCGAGCUCUCACCAUAGCAGACCAUUCCACUGGUGUUGAAUUCUCAUGCAGCCAUUGUUGUCACUGCAUUUAAUUCUGAAGUAGUUUCUUUUUCAUUCAUGUUUGAGCAAGAGAUUAUUCCAGUAACUGCUUCUUGGAGAGUGUAUGUUUUGUGCUAAGGAGAGUAUCUUUGCUGGAGUUAUAGACUUUCCCAAAAAACUACGUGUUCAGUUUACUUCAUUGAAAGCUUUGUUUAUAGCAGGGUGGUUUUUGUCAUUUCAUAUAUUCCCCAUCAUCAAUUCUGAAUGCUUGUUUGAUAUAUGUAUACCACCUAUUCCAAGUGUUAGGCUAUUAGUAUCUUUUAUUUCGAGAAUCCAGCAACCCAUUUUUGUAUAAUUUCAUCUUAUUGUGUUUCACUAUAAGAAAUAGAGUAGUCUCUGAAAAUGCAAAAGCAACUUAUUGAUUCUGUGUUUGAGAUGAUUCCAUUUGUCUUAUGAAGGUGGGGAGAACAUUUUCUUACCCUAAAUUCCUUGGCUCAUUUAUGAAGCUGCUCUACUACCCCUUCUGUUCAGAAUCUAAGGAAUUAUUGAUGAUUAAGAAAUAGUUUUCUGGGUUCUUUGGGAUUAUAUAGUUCAUUAGUUUGUGGUCUGACCAGAAAUUCGGAAUGGAAAUUCUUUUAAUGAAAGUUCAUGCUGUGGUUCAAAAGGUUCCAUAAUUAUAGGAGUAUUAAACAAGGCUGAUUGCAUAUCUUUUUGAAAUAAAAUGAUUUGUGUUCGUGGAUUGGAUGGUAUCUUUAACUGUAUUCGAGGAUGCAUCUAAAGCUUGGCUUGCAAUAUAAAAUCUUUUUUCUAAACAAAAUAAACAGUUUUACAUGCUUUUGAUUUAUAUGCUUUUGUGAACUACAGAUAACCAAGACUUGUACGUCUUACAAAAAAACAAAUCUUUAAACUGUUGCAAUUUAUAAAAUAGAAAGUUAAUUAUGGAUUUUGCUGAAACCUGCGAACUUUUUGGAGUUUUCUAAAACAGAUUAAACCCCAAAGGAUUUUUAUUUUUAGUGUACUCUGCAUAUCAUUGAUGCUAUGAGAUUCGUCAUGUUUGUUGUAUAUGCAGAUAGGCGAUUACUUGGAUGUGGCAAUCACCCUGACUCAGUGAUCCUUGCUGCUGUUGUGUUGCUGAACUUUAUUGUGAGCAUAACCGACCACAUUUCUGUUUUGGUAGAAUCAUAUUUAGCUCAUGUUUGUAAUAUGACCCUUGAGAGGAGCUCCACGAAUGAUGUGAAUUCUACUUGGAAAUUGAUGAAUAGCAACUUAGCUACGGAUUAGCUACGGAUUUUUCCGUAGCUAAAUCCAAAUAGCCGGUGAAGAAACUCCUGUCGCCUGAUUCGGACUAGCCACGGAUUUUUCCGUAGCUAUUUAGCUACGGAUUUUUCCGUAGCUAAGUCCGUUGGUGACUGUUAAACGACGAUUACGGCGACACAUUCCAGCGAGGGAUAUUUCCGUAGCUAAAUCCGUAGCUAACGUUAGCGAGGGAUCGUAUUUCCGUAGCUAAAAAUUUAGCGACGAGCGAUAUACCUACGGACGACAUCCGUUCCCGAUCCGUAGGUAAAACUGUUUAGCUACGGAAUUAGUGUUUUUAGCUACGGAAAUUUCCGUAGCUAUUUUGCGCGAAUUUUGUAGUGUUUGCAAGAAAAAUUGAUAUUUUGCAAGAAAAAUUGUAGGAGGAAGAAGGAGUGAGUUGUGAUGAAUGAAAGUGAGUUGUGAUGAAUGAAUGAGGGA